UCACAGCCGACAAAAUACUUUGGU
rnacentral:siRNA from 1 species